rfam:Strongyloides venezuelensis genome assembly, scaffold: SVE_scaffold0000001
CCAACCAUAGCUCAGUUGGUAGAGCGGAGGACUGUAGAAAGAGCCUUUAUGGCUGCAUCCUAGCCGAUAUCCUUAGGUCACUGGUUCGAAUCCGGUUGGUUGGA